AUGACCGGCUUGCUCGGGAAGUUGGUUGAGGGUUGGACGUCCCUUAAUGGCUCCGACAGCGACGCAGUUGCGAGGCAGUUCACUACAUUUGUCCCAGAACGGACACAUCGGCCAACGGGUUGCCGUGGCCGGUAUGACUACAACAGUUCCCAAGAGCUUGCUGACACACAACAUGACCUAGAUGGAGACGCUGGUCUUGACAAGGAUGACGAUGAUGACAUGGAGAACGUGCAACAGGACACGGAUGAUGUUGAACAUGUUGAAGUUCGUGCAGGUGGUAAGAAGGGCAAGGAUGCACCAGAUGUCCCCCCACCGGAGAAAGUCAAAGAACAUACGGCUGCAAGAGGCGAGGGGGUGUUGCCCUCAAAGAGGGGGAGGGCUCCAGAGGAUGUUGGGUAG
rnacentral:rRNA from 1 species